rnacentral:rRNA from 1 species
AUCCGAAGCCAGAGCUGACCCGGCAGGAUCCAGAGUACCACGGGACACGGGAAACCCUGUGGGAACGAGCGGAGACCACUCCGUAAGGCUAAAUACUACUCAGUGACCGAUAGCGUAUAGUACUGUGAAGGAAAGGUGAAAAGAACCCCGGGAGGGGAGUGAAAGAGAACCUGAAACCCUGUGUCUACAAGCUGUGGAAGUGCUUCUUAUGCACGACCGCGUACUUUUUGUAGAACGGUCCGGCGAGCUGCGGGUACUGGCAAGGUUAAGCACUUCAGGUGCGGAGCCGCAGGGAAACCAAGUCUUAAGAGGGCGUUUUAGUCAGUACGUGCAGGCCCGAAACCGGGUGACCUAUCCAUGUCCAGGUUGAAGCCGCCGUAAAAGGCGAUGGAGGACCGAACCCACAUCCGUUGAAAAGGGUGGGGAUGAGGUGUGGAUAGCGGAGAAAUUCCAAUCGAACCCGGAGAUAGCUGGUUCUCCUCGAAAUAGCUUUAGGGCUAGCCUCAUACAAGUCUGCCGGAGGUAGAGCACUGAAUUUCCGCGGGGGCGUCAAAGCCUACCAAAGAAUAUCAAACUCCGAAUGCCGGACAGAUGGUGUAUGGGAGUCAGACUGUACGAGAUAAGUUGGACAGUCAAAAGGGAAAGAGCCCAGACCGCCAGCUAAGGUCCCAAAGUGCGUGUUAAGUGGAAAAGGAUGUGGGAUCUCUAAGACAACCAGGAUGUUGGCUCAGAAGCAGCCAUUCAUUAAAAGAGUGCGUAACAGCUCACUGGUCGAGAGGUCCUGCGCCGAAAAUGUCCGGGGCUGAAACACCACACCGAAGCCGCGGAACCCGUAAGGGUUGGUAGAGGAGCAUUCUUAGGGGAGUGAAGCAUUACCGGAAGGGGAUGUGGACUGCUAAGAAGAGAGAAUGCCGGAAUGAGUAGCGAGAGCAAGGUGGGAAUCCUUGCGGCCGAAUAUCCAAGGUUUCCAGAGUAAAGCUGAUCUGCUCUGGGUAAGUCGGGGCCUAAGGAGAGGCAGAGAUGCGUAUCCGAUGGACAGCAGGUUUAAGAUUCCUGCACCCCUUGUUAUCAGAACUGCGGGGACACGGGAAGGGAAGCAGAGCCGGGAAUGGAAAGCCCGGUGCAAGCGAAGUAGUCGCAGGGUUGGAAAAUCCGCCCUGCAUGAGACGAAGGCGUGAUGCGGAGCGAAAUGAAGUAGUGAAGCUGCGGCCCCUUCCUGUCGAGAAAAGCCGCUAUCGUGUAGCAAGGGCCCGUACCGUAAACCGACACAGGUGGAUGAGGAGAGGAUCCUAAGGCCGGCGGGAGAAGUGUUGUUAAGGAACUCGGCAAAAUGACUCCGUAACUUCGGGAGAAGGAGUGCUGCGCAAGCAGCCGCAGAGAAAUGGCCCAAGCAACUGUUUAGCAAAAACACAGGUCUAUGCGAAACCGUAAGGUGAGGUAUAUGGGCUGACGCCUGCCCGGUGCUGGAAGGUUAAGAGGAGAGGUUAGCGGUAACGCGAAGCUUUGAAUUUAAGCCCCAGUAAACGGCGGCCGUAACUAUAACGGUCCUAAGGUAGCGAAAUUCCUUGUCGGGUAAGUUCCGACCC